rnacentral:rRNA from 1 species
GAUGAACGCUGGCGGCGUGCCUAAUACAUGCAAGUCGAGCGAACAGACGAGGAGCUUGCUCCUCUGACGUUAGCGGCGGACGGGUGAGUAACACGUGGAUAACCUACCUAUAAGACUGGGAUAACUUCGGGAAACCGGAGCUAAUACCGGAUAAUAUAUUGAACCGCAUGGUUCAAUAGUGAAAGACGGCUUUGCUGUCACUUAUAGAUGGAUCCGCGCCGGAUUAGCUAGUUGGUAAGGUAACGGCUUACCAAGGCAACGAUGCGUAGCCGGCCUGAGAGGGUGAUCGGCCACACUGGAACUGAGACACGGUCCAGACUCCUACGGGAGGCAGCAGUAGGGAAUCUUCCGCAAUGGGCGAAAGCCUGACGGAGCAACGCCGCGUGAGUGAUGAAGGUCUUCGGAUCGUAAAACUCUGUUAUUAGGGAAGAACAAAUGUGUAAGUAACUAUGCACGUCUUGACGGUACCGAAUCAGAAAGCCACGGCUAACUACGUG